AUCCCGUGCUGACCCACUCUCUGUAGAACCCCUCUCCACCUUUGUCGUUAAAUCCCUCACCGAACAUCUCCUCUCCGUCGAACCCCUCUCCGCCGAACCUCUCCGUCUAACCUCCCUUUUCGUCUCUGCCGAACCCCUAAACCUCCCUUUCACUUUCUUCUUUGUGUGAACCCUCAGUGGUGUUGUUGGUCCUUCAACAACUCGCAAUUGUUGUUUGGUCCCUUCAAAACCUAAAUUUGUAGUUUAUGUUGCUUGAAUGCCCAUUUAGAUUUUGAAAAUUAUUGUGUUAUAAUGUAUAUUAGUGCAGGAAGCAAAAAGAUCUUUAUCUCUGGAUGGUGAAGUCUCCUGGAAGACUUUAUGUGAAGUUCUUAGUCAAUUGCACACAAUGAAGGAGCUAAAUCUUACUGGAAAUCAUCUAAAAGGAUCACGCCCAAUUUUGACAUUUUCCUCAAAUUUUGACAACGAACCUCGUAGAACCUUGCUGGAAACUUCUGAAAGAAACUAUUAUACAGGUCGCUAGUGGUAGCAUUGGUAGUAGUAUUGGUAAUGAUGUUGGCAACAAUAACCGUGAGGAAAAAUAAUAAUGUUGAUAAUGUUAACCCAUCUCUAAUGGUAGCUCAGGUGAAGGAUGUGAGUCAUAGAGAUAUCAAGGAUAAUGCUAAAUGUAAGCUACUUCAUUGAUGCAUUGAUGGAGUUGUGGCAAAAGGUCAAAUUGCAUCCAUAGAUCCAAAAGCAAAAAUGCAUCACAUUCUUCUUGGCGGAUCAUGUUGGAAAGUUUGGGUUGAUAAAGUUCUUGUAGAGAAGGUGAACUUAAUUCGACCAAAUAAUGAAAUUCUUUUUCUCAAGAAUGAAAUAGGAAGUACAGUUGCUUGGUUAUCUAAAUUUAUA